rnacentral:rRNA from 1 species
UACAGAGGUCUCAAGCGUUGUUCGGAUUCAUUGGGUUUAAAGGGUGCGUAGGCGGCCCUGUAAGUCAGUGGUGAAAUACUCUAGCUUAACUAGAGGGGUGCCAUUGAUACUGCAGGGCUUGAGUGGAGUCGAAGUAGGCGGAAUUGACGGUGUAGCGGUGAAAUGCUUAGAUAUCGUCAAGAACACCGAUAGUGAAGACAGCUUACUAGGCUUCUACUGACGCUGAGGCACGAAAGUGUGGGGAUCAAACAGG